GUUGAAUUCUCAAAAAAAAAAUAGGCAAAAUUUGAGCUUGCUACAGCAAGAAAGUCUAACCAAUUCAGGGGCUCUCCUCUCUGUGAGAUGGGCCAUUACAAAGACUUAAACAGU
rnacentral:snoRNA from 1 species